rnacentral:lncRNA from 1 species
UUCCAUGACCCGCAGUUUAUACCAUUUAGGAGCAAGACAGCCUGAUCUCCCAAGAUCCACAAGGAGAUCAUCAGAAGAAUCUCAAGAUGCCUGUGAUGAUGUGGACAUCGGCUCAUCCUUGUGCUGGAUGAGAGAAAACUGGAACACUGUGAUUGACUCAGUCAAAGUUGGAAAAUGCAAGUACUGAAUGGCUCAGCCUCUCCUAUGUCUCAUGCUCAAUGGAGCAGCCUCCCUGCCAGACCCGGAACUGAUGUGGUUCAUCUUCAGAAAGCUCACAUUUGCCAGUCUGCUGUCCAAGGGGGUCUCUGUGUGAUUCCUACAACCUCCUCACUGGAUAUCACUAGUGUUUAAGAGCAUCCUCACUGUCUAGUAAAAUCCAAUCUUAUAAAACUG